CUUCAAGCAAAAGGGACUUUAACCCCUACCCCUAACUCCCAAAGCUAGGAUCCUAAUUU
rnacentral:tRNA from 1 species